rnacentral:rRNA from 1 species
ACUCCUACGGGAGGCAGCAGUGAGGAAUAUUGGACAAUGGUCGGAAGACUGAUCCAGCCAUGCCGCGUGCAGGAAGACUGCCCUAUGGGUUGUAAACUGCUUUAUACAGGAAGAAUAAGCUCUACGAGUAGAGUGAUGACGGUACUGUAAGAAUAAGCAUCGGCUAACUCCGUGCCAGCAGCCGCGGUAAUACGGAGGAUGCAAGCGUUAUCCGGAAUCAUUGGGUUUAAAGGGUCCGUAGGCGGGCUAAUAAGUCAGAGGUGAAAGUUUGCCGCUCAACGGUAAAAUUGCCUUUGAUACUGUUAGUCUUGAAUGGUUGUGAAGUGGUUAGAAUAAGUAGUGUAGCGGUGAAAUGCAUAGAUAUUACUUAGAAUACCAAUUGCGAAGGCAGAUCACUAACAACUGAUUGACGCUGAUGGACG